UUAUUUUAUAUUAUAGUAGCAGCCUGAAUACUAAAAUAAAGCAGAGAAUUAGCACAGCCCCUGUGCAAGGAUGACAUCCAGAUUCAUGAAGUUGUCCUAUUUUGC